AUAAUACUCUCUUCUCCCGGAAUUACUUGUCGCAAAAAUGGAUGUAUCUAGACAUAUUUUAGUUUUCGCUACAUCCAUUUUUAUCCAUUUCUACAACAAGUAAUUCAGGACGAAGGGAGUAGACA
rfam:Triticum aestivum genome assembly, contig: Triticum_aestivum_CS42_TGACv1_scaffold_021324_1AS